UACGUAGGUGGCAAGCGUUGUCCGGAUUUACUGGGCGUAAAGAGCGCGCAGGCGGUCGUUCAAGUCGCGUGUGAAAGCCCCCGGCUCAACUGGGGAGGGUCACGCGAUACUGAUCGACUCGAAGGCAGGAGAGGGUAGUGGAAUUCCCGGUGUAGUGGUGAAAUGCGUAGAGAUCGGGAGGAACACCAGUGGCGAAGGCGGCUUCCUGGACCAGACCUGACGCUGAGGCGCGAAAGCGUGGGGAGCGAUCCGG
rnacentral:rRNA from 1 species